rnacentral:rRNA from 1 species
UACAGAGGUCUCAAGCGUUGUUCGGAUUCAUUGGGCGUAAAGGGUGCGUAGGCGGCGCGGUAAGUCGGGUGUGAAAUCUCGGAGCUUAACUCCGAAACUGCAUUCGAUACUGCCGUGCUUGAGGACUGGAGAGGAGACUGGAAUUUACGGUGUAGCAGUGAAAUGCGUAGAUAUCGUAAGGAAGACCAGUGGCGAAGGCGGAUCUCUGGACAGGUACUGACACUGAGGCACG